rnacentral:tRNA from 1 species
GCGCCCGUGGCCUAAUGGAUAAGGCAACAGCCUCCGGAGCUGUUCAUGCAGGUUCGACUCCCGCCGGGCGCG